rnacentral:rRNA from 1 species
UAACGCGUCGGGCAACCUCGCCUCAGUACAGGGGGAUAGCAUCGGGAAACUGGUGGUAAAACCGCGAUAAGCGCACGAAGACGCAUGUAUUCGUGUGAAAAGGAGAAAUCUGGUAUGAGAUGGACCCGCGUCUGAUUAGCUAGUUGGAGUGGUAAAAGCACACCAAGGCGACGAUCAGUAGCCGGCCUGAGAGGGUGGACGGCCACAUUGGGACUGAGACACGGCCCAGACUCCUACGGGAGGCAGCAG